rnacentral:rRNA from 1 species
UACGAAGGGGGCUAGCGUUGCUCGGAAUCACUGGGCGUAAAGCGCACGUAGGCGGCUUUCUAAGUCAGGGGUGAAAUCCUGGAGCUCAACUCCAGAACUGCCUUUGAUACUGGGAAGCUCGAGUCCGGAAGAGGUGAGUGGAACUCCGAGUGUAGAGGUGAAAUUCGUAGAUAUCGAGAGGAACACCGGUGGCGAAGGCGGCGAUCUGGACGAUGACUGACGCUGAGACGCGAAAGCGUGGGGAGCAAACAGG